rnacentral:rRNA from 1 species
GAUGAACGCUAGCGGGAGGCUUAACACAUGCAAGUCGAGGGGCAGCACGAGGUAGCAAUACUUUGGUGGCGACCGGCGCACGGGUGAGUAACGCGUAUGCAACUUACCCUGUACUGGGAGAUAACCCGGAGAAAUUCGGACUAAUAUCCCAUGAUGAUAUUUAAAGGCAUCUUUGAAUAUUUAAAGUUCCGACGGUACAGGAUGGGCAUGCGUAACAUUAGCUAGUUGGUAGGGUAACGGCCUACCAAGGCUGCGAUGUUUAGGGGUCCUGAGAGGGUGAUCCCCCACACUGGUACUGAGACACGGACCAGACUCCUACGGGAGGCAGCAGUGAGGAAUAUUGGUCAAUGGGCGCAAGCCUGAACCAGCCAUCCCGCGUGAAGGAAGAAGGCGCUAUGCGUUGUAAACUUCUUUUCCAGGGGAAUAAAAUUUUGUACGUGUACGGAAUUGAGGGUACCCUGGGAAUAAGCAUCGGCUAACUCCGUGCCAGCAGCCGCCGUAAGAC